GAUGAACGCUAGCCACAGGCUUAACACAUGCAAGUCGAGGGGUAACGAGAGGGAAGCUUGCUUUCCUUGUCGACGACCGGCGGAUGGGUGAGUAACGCGUAUCCAACCUGCCCUUCAGUAAGGGAUAGCCUUUCGAAAGAAAGAAUAAUACCUUAUGUGAUCGUCUGAUGACAUCAGACGACGAUCAAAGAUUUAUCGCUCAAGGAUGGGGAUGCGUCCCAUUAGGCAGUAGGCGGGGUAACGGCCCACCUAACCUACGAUGGGUAGGGGUUGUGAGCGGAAGGUCUCCCACAUUGGAACUGAGACACGGUCCAAACUCCUACGGGAGGCAGCAGUGGGGAAUAUUGGUCAAUGGCCGUAAGGCUGAACCAGCCAAGUAGCGUGCAGGAUGACGGCCCUAUGGGUUGUAAACUGCUUUUAAACGGGGAUAAAGUGAGCCACGUGUGGUUUAUUGCAGGUACCGUUUGAAUAAGGACCGGCUAAUUCCGUGCCAGCCGCCGCGGUAACAC
rnacentral:rRNA from 1 species